AGAAAUAUGUCUGAUAAAAGAGUUACUUUGAUAGAGUAAAUCAUAGAGGCUAAAUUCCUCUUAUUUCUA
rnacentral:tRNA from 2 species